rnacentral:rRNA from 1 species
GAUGAACGCUGGCGGCGUGCCUAAUACAUGCAAGUCGAGCGAACAGACGAGGAGCUUGCUCCUCUGACGUUAGCGGCGGACGGGUGAGUAACACGUGGAUAACCUACCUAUAAGACUGGCAUAACUUCGGGAAACCGGAGCUAAUACCGGAUAAUAUAUUGAACCGCAUGGUUCAAUAGUGAAAGACGGUUUUGCUGUCACUUAUAGAUGGAUCCGCGCCGCAUUAGCUAGUUGGUAAGGUAACGGCUUACCAAGGCAACGAUGCGUAGCCGACCUGAGAGGGUGAUCGGCCACACUGGAACUGGGACACGGUCCAGACUCCUACGGGAGGCAGCAGUAGGGAAUCUUCCGCAAUGGGCGAAAGCCUGACGGAGCAACGCCGCGUGAGUGAUGAAGGUCUUCGGAUCGUAAAACUCUGUUAUUAGGGAAGAACAAAUGUGUAAGUAACUAUGCACGUCUUGACGGUACCUAAUCAGAAAGCCACGGCUAACUACGUG